CAUCUCCUCGAACUUCUCCUCCCUGUCGGCUAUUGCAAGCUCCACCUUGGCUAGCCGUGUCUCAAAACCCUCCAUGGUUUCCCUUGAACUAGAUCUCUGGGAUUUAGAUUUCUUCUUGACUCCCUCGGAUAUAUUGAUAGUCUCGCUUCCGCCUUCCAUCUACCUCUAUGUUCCAACGAUCUUCAAACCUUGGCUCUGAUACCAACUGUCACGGACUUGGUCGCAAUUCCAACGAACCGUGCGGCCUAGCAAACUUCUUGCCUUAAGUUGCUAGUCAGCCUACUCACGAAGGAACACAAAGGAACAAGAGACUCAAAGAAAGAACUUUGAGAGUUCAAUACA